rnacentral:rRNA from 1 species
GAUGAACGCUGGCGGCGUGCCUAAUACAUGCAAGUCGAGCGAACAGACGAGGAGCUUGCUCCUCUGACGUUAGCGGCGGACGGGUGAGUAACACGUGGAUAACCUACCUAUAAGACUGGGAUAACUUCGGGAAACCGGAGCUAAUACCGGAUAAUAUAUUGAACCGCAUGGUUCAAUAGUGAAAGACGGUUUUGCUGUCACUUAUAGAUGGAUCCGCGCCGCAUUAGCUAGUUGGUAAGGUAACGGCUUACCAAGGCAACGAUGAGUAGCCGACCUGAGAGGGUGAUCGGCCACACGGGAACUGAGACACGGUCCAGACUCCUACGGGAGGCAGCAGUAGGGAAUCUUACGCAAUGGGCGAAAGCCUGACGGAGCAACGCCGCGUGAGUGAUGAAGGUCUUCGGAUCGUAAAGCUCUGUUAUUAGGGAAGAACAAAUGUGUAAGUAACUAUGCACGUCUUGACGGUACCUAAUCAGAAAGCCACGGCUAACUACGUG